AAUUAUCAACCUUGAAGGUCUUUAUUGCUCUUCUAGGCUUGGAUGUGAGGGCUUGCUGGCUUCCUUCAGUGGAUUGGUCUGCUCCCUUUAAAUGCAUUAGUGGGAUCUCUUGUGGACCGUCACUUGGUGUGAUAAUUAUCUACGCCGCUUGACUUUGAAGCAAAUCUAUGGGAACCUGCUUAUAACCGUCCUUCAGUUGGACAACUUAUCUUA
rnacentral:misc_RNA from 1 species